GUGCUCACUUUGGCAGUUCAUGUACUAAAUUUGGAACAAUACAGAGAAGAUUAGCAAGGUCCCUAUGAAAUGCUGGCAUGUAAAUUUACAAAGCAUUUCAUACUAAC